GCAGGGGUAGUCAAGCUUGGUCAAAGGCGCCAGAAUGAGGGUCUGGUCCCAUAGGGGUCCGUGAGUUCAAAUCUCACCCCCUGCACCA
rnacentral:tRNA from 1 species